GUUGAACGCUGGCGGCGUGCUUUACACAUGCAAGUCGAACGGCAGGGCGGGGAGGUUGGCUCUUCGGCGUUAGCGGCGCGCGGGUGUGAAUAAUACGGAUAAACUUCUUGUAAAGAUGGGAAUAACCCGCCAAAAGGGUGCUUAAUACCGCUUAUAUUCUGAAGCAGAUAGCUGGAGAGCGAAAGAUGGUCUUGGCGCUUUUUAUACAUGCAUCCGCGCUGCAUUAGCUAGUUGGUGAGGUAACGGCUUACCAAGGCAACGAUGUGUAGCUGGGCUGAGAGGGUGAUCGGCCACACUGGAACUGAGACACGGCCCAGACUCCUACGGGAGGCAGCAGUGGGGAAUCUUCGGCAAUGGGGGAAAGCCUGACGGAGCAAUGCCGCGUGUAUGAUGAAGGCCUUCGGAUCGUAAAGCACUUUUAUUAGGGAAGAACAGAUAUCUGUGAAAAAGUGCAGAUCUUGACGGUACCUAAUGAAAAAGCAACGGCUAACUACGUG
rnacentral:rRNA from 1 species